AAAGAUUAAGCCAUGCAGGUGCAAGUACGAUCGGUACAAUGAGAGACUGCGAAUGGCUCAUUAGAUCAGUUAUAAUUUUCUGGAUCGUACGAUCCUUACUUGGAUAACUGUGGCAAUUCUAGAGCUAAUACAUGCAACGAAGCUCCGACUGUAGUCAGUUGGAGGGCUUUUAUUAGUUGAACCUCCCGAGCUGGUCUCGUCGAUGGUGACUCUGGAUAACGCUGCUGAUCGCUAGGCUUUUGGCCAGCGACAAAUCCAAAAAGUAUCUGCCUUAUCAGCUAGUAGGUGGUCGACCUGACCACCUAGGCUACCACGGGUAGCGGGGAAUCAUGGGUUUGAUUCCGGAGAGGGAGCAUGAGAAACGGCUACCACGUCCAAGGAAGGCAGCAGGCACGCAACUUACCCAAUCCCGACACGGGGAGGUAGUGACGAAAAAUACCAAUACGGGACUCUGUCGAGGCUCCGGCAUUGGAAUGAGUACACUUUAAU
rnacentral:rRNA from 1 species